UGGUGGAGAAAUCACCGUGUGUGGCUGACCCAGCUGAGCUCCACCUCUCCCCAGAGCUGUGUUUGCCAUGGGAGCACAUCUGUUCUGGCUUCUCCACCUAUUUCUGAAGGAUGUUUUCAUGCCAAGGAAGGAAGAAGAAAUCCUAACAAAUAACAAGUUCAUGGAGUGCUUAAAUCUGAGGAUAUGUUCAAGGGACAGGGAGAUGAGAAACAGGGACAGGGAGAUGAGAAACCUCAGCAAAACAGGAAGAAAUUACAAGAUAAAUAAAUAAAUGACAAGAUAAAUAAACCCAUCCAUGGGUUCAUUGGGUUAUCAGCCCUGGGGCACGAAGAGUGCAUGAGAUGGUAUUUAUAAAGGAGCAUCCAAAGGUCACUGGAAGUGAUUUCAGUGCAGACAUAACAUCAAGAACGCUUGUUCAAACAAAACCCUCUUGGAGUGACUGCAAUUAGACCAAGAAAGGACGUGGACCUGGUCUUCAUUUUUGAUCUCUUGCCUCUGCUGUGAUUCAGGCUUUUCCAGCACUGUGGGAAGCUGUCGUUGGGAAAUUCCUUUUCUGGAUGAAGGCUGGCAAGUCUUUGUCUCCGAUUUAUCUCCAAUUUGUCUCCAAUUCCAGACUGGGAAGCCAUCAGUGCAGCUGAGCAGGGGAUGAAGGAGGAGAUGCUGAGGGACGUGUAAACCGCUUUGCAAGAUCAUCCCAGGAAAGGAACUAAAGGAGCCAGAAAUUAGGUUGCUCCAACCCCCAUCCAGCCUGGCCUUGGACAAUUCCAGGUUUGAGGAAAUCUGCAGAUAAAGUCAUAAAAGGUGUCACGGAUCAGGCACGUGAGAGUAUCACACAUUGUUUAUGGCUACUGCUGUGACCAGAUAUGAAAUAUUGGUUUACAGCUCUUUUAUGGCUGCCUGAUAUCUCUUAGUGGUGCAAAUGCACACUCCU